GUGCUUGCCUCAGGGGCACAUAUACUAAAAUUGGAACAAUACAGAGAUUAGCAUGGCCCCUGUGCACAGAUGACAUGGAAAUUCAUGAAGUAUUCCAUAUUUUU
ensembl:snRNA U6 U6 spliceosomal RNA